UUCGCAAUGCCCGAAAGGGUGACGAAGCGACGCCGCGUGGGUGAGGUAGGCCUUCGGGUUGUAAAGCCCUGUCAGGAGUUAAGAAAUGUAAGUGUGCUAAUAUCGCAUUUACUUGACGUAGGCUCCAAAGGAAGUCACGGCUAACUCUGUGCCAGCAGCCGCGGUAAUACAGAGGUGGCAAGCGUUGUUCGGAAUUAUUGGGCGUAAAGAGCACGUAGGUGGGUUUGUAAGUCAGAUGUGAAAGCCUCCUGUUCAACGGGAGAAUUGCAUCUGAAACUACUGAUCUUGAGUAUAGGAGGGGAGAAUGGAACUUCUGGUGGAGCGGUGAAAUGCGUAGAUAUCAGAAGGAACGCCGGCGGCGAAAGCGAUUCUCUGGCCUAUUACUGACACUCAGUGUGCGAAGCUAGGGGAGCAAACGGGAUUAGAUACCCCGGUAGUCCUAGCCGUAAACGAUGGGCACUAAGUAGAGGGGUUUUA
rnacentral:rRNA from 1 species